rnacentral:lncRNA from 1 species
AAAUAAUGAACCUCACUAUCGAAAUCUUUCAAAUCCAGAUUAAAAAAAAGAACACCCUAUAACGAAACAUCAUCAAAUCUUUUGAACGAGCAAUUAAACACGCGACCGGUAAAAAACUCGAAUGGUAACCUCGAGCACCAAACUGUUUCCCGGAUCUGAGCUUGACUGGACAACCUUGAAAGGAUGGUGACAAGAAUAGGACAAACGAUCAGAACUCGAUAGGCGACGGAUUGGACGAACCUUGCCGGAGAAACUCAAAUCUCGCCAAAAAAACUGACUAUGACAAAUACUUGUAGCCUAGAACUGGUACUCAACGUUUGAAUAUAGGCUACGUUGGUUGUAACCCGAAAUGGUAUUUGGUGUCGAAGCUCCAAAAUGGUGUUCUAUUACUGGAAAUGGAAAGGUUACUCAGAAAGGGGAGGGAGAUAGGCCUGAUGGCGGAUGAAGAUGGAUCAUACGUCGGAGAGGGUGUGUCUUCUGUUGGUGGCUGUUGGUUCGUUUCCGGCGAACUCGCCGGGCAUCGUCGAGGUGGUCGCUGCUUCCCUGGGGAUUAGGGUUUCGCCAUUUUGGGUUGAAGAUGGAGGAGUGUGUCUGUGUUAGCUCUAAGU